AGGGAAUUGCAACCCGAUGGGUUUUGCAGUUCCUGACCAAAAUGGGUGCAAAGGGAGACUUUUACGGCUGGUUGGAUGGAAACAAAGAGGAAUCUCCAAGCAGGAAUCCUUCAAAAACCUUUGUAUCUUCUUCCCUGAGCGAACCAUGGAAAUGCUCGACUGGGACGACAGAACAAAGACAUCGGACCUGCUGGUCGUCCCAAAACGUAGAGGCCAGGCUCGCUUCCCAGUCGAAGUACGUUCCCUACGGGCCGGUGGACGAGGUGAUGCCGCACCUGUCUCGAGGAGCCCAGGAGAACCGAGGCUUCAUGGUG
ensembl:lncRNA